AUGCUGCUGAGCAUCCUUUGUUACAAAGAUGAAAAGGUAUCAUUUGGACAAAGGAUACUGAUGUUUAUUUUUGGAAUAGGCUUUCUUCUGAGAGAAGAGUUGCUUGAAAUCAUGCAGAUGUAUUUUAAGAAUGUACUCAAGAGAGGCACCCAAGAAGACAUUUUUGUAUGGAGAUGGGCAGAAAAUGAAGUGAGACUUGAACUUGGAGAGAAAACAAUGUCCUUUUCUUUUGAAGAGGAUCAGGAAGCUGAAAGAAGGAUUCCUGACAGUCAGGCUAAGCUGGACACCUCUAUGGAAACCUGCCAGGAGCUCUUCAAGAAUAAUGAAGUAGAGCCUAGAACCAUGGACUUUAAGAAUAGAUAAUAGCAGUUAUAAACUACUUUUUCUUUCUAUUUCCAUGUUCUCUAAGUUUUCCAAAUCUUAAAUCUUAUUAGAAGGUGCAGUCCUAUCUCUUUUGUGUUAUGGAAGAUAAGAGAACAUAAUGUCUCCUUCCAUCCAUUAAAGGUCAUUGAGGAGCAUUAAGAUGAUUACUUUUGGCUCCAAAUCCCAACUUCGUGUCUAUAUCACAAAGUUUGGCAGCAUGGAAGGCAGUAUCAGAGGGGAAAAAACUUGAGUUUAAUUUUUUUUUUUUUCUGGAAAAAACUGAGGCAGUUCCCAAGAAGUUAACAGAAAUAGCUGGGAAGCCAGUUUCUGAAAUUCAGGCGGCUCGGGACCUUGACAAAAUAAUUUGAUGGAAAACAGAUACACAAAGUCAUUCUAUAGACAUAGGAUAGUGAAGUUCAAGGACAAACAGCAUUAUUACACAGAAUCUAUUGUCUGAAGACAAUAGAUUUUUUUUUGGAAUUUUUUUGUAAUUCUGAAGCAUCCACUCUGUUAACUGUUCUUUUAGCUUCUUUGGCAUAGGGGAUGAACUAGAAAUCUUCCCUUGGCUUAGAGUAUAUAUUUAUUUCUAUAAGGGCGGAUUCAGAGAGCUUUUCCUUGUACCACUUUCUCCUUCACAAAGAUGUAUUUGGAAACCUCCCUGAGAAUUGGCAACAGUUCUUACGUUUCCUAAAAAUGUUCAAACUAUUGAACAUUCAAACUCACAUGCAAAUUUCCUCUUGGGGACAGUACUAGAAACCACAGAUUAUCUAGGAAAAAAUAAAUAACUCUAAAUUGAAAUUCCACUUAAUGGUAUCAUAAACACAAAACACACUAAACCAUUUACUAGAAUUAUUUUAAAAACUUAUUAGAAUUAUUUUAAUGGUAAUUUUUAAACAUUGGGGUACAGGUGUCCCUUUGAAUCACUGCAUUUGUAUCUUUGGGGUGAAUACCUAAUAGUCUAAUUGCUGGGUUGUUUCAUUCAUAUGUGUAAUACAAGAAACAGCACAGGGGAUCAUAGGGAAAGGGAGGGAAAAUUGAAUGGGAAGUCAUUAAAGAGGAAAAAAAACCAUGAGAGACUCUUAACUAUAGGAAACAAACAGGAUUGUUGGAGAGGAGGUGGGUGGAGGAAUGGGGUAGCUGGGUGAUGGGCAUUAAGGAGGGCACGUGAUAUCAUAAGCACUGGAUGUUAUAUACAACUGAUGAAUUAUUGAACACUACAUCUGAAACUGAUGAUGUACUAUAAGCUGGCUAACUGAAUUUAAAUAAAAAAAUAAAAGUAAUUUUUCAAGUUUUAAAUUCAGAAUCAUAACUGAGCCAUCAUUUUAUUUAAUUCUUCUAAAUGUAUUAGAUGUAUGCAAUGUUUAAGAUAUUUUGUAAAGGGGCGCCUGGAACCUCACCGCUCAUGUGCCUGAGUGUUUGUGGCCAUUUCUGUGUCUGGGCACGUGUUUGAACGUGGGGUGCGUGGCUCUGCAGGUGGCCCUGUGCUUUAUCCAUAUGACAUCGGUGCGUGCGUGUCUGUGGAUGCGGAGGGGCUUCUGGGUUCUCUAUUCUGUUCCAUUGAUCUAUGAGUCUGUUGCUCAGUGGUUGAGCAUCUGCCUUUUGGCUUAGGUCAUGAUCCCAGGUCCUGGGAUCGAAUCCUGCAUUAGGCUCCUCUCAGGGAGUCUGCUUCCCCACCUGCCUAUGUGUCUGCCUCUUUAUGUAUCUCAUGAAUAAAUAAAUAUAAUCUUAAAAAAGACAUUUUGUAAAAAGUUAUAUAUAGGAUCAUCAUGUCCCAAUACUACAUACAUAUGCAAAUGUGAGAAUUGCCAAAAUUCAGUUCUAGAAAAUUAAAUUAAUAUUAAAUUAAUAAUAAAAAUCAGAUUAAUAAAUCCAUCACAAAAUUGUCUUCAUUUACCAUUUCUCUUUCAUUGAGAAAUGUCACGAUGG
rnacentral:lncRNA from 1 species